rnacentral:sRNA from 17 species
UGGUAGAUGCACCCUGAUAACUUGCUCCCCUAGUUAACUGUCGGUUGCUAGGGGAUUUUUUU